UAUAAAUGAAUCUAUGAUCUCGCCAAGAA
rnacentral:sRNA from 1 species